AUUGAACGCUGGCGGCAUGCUUUACACAUGCAAGUCGAACGGUAACAGGCCGCAAGGUGCUGACGAGUGGCGAACGGGUGAGUAAUGCAUCGGAACGUGCCCAGUCGUGGGGGAUAACUACUCGAAAGAGUAGCUAAUACCGCAUACGAUCUAUGGAUGAAAGCGGGGGACCGUAAGGCCUCGCGCGAUUGGAGCGGCCGAUGUCAGAUUAGGUAGUUGGUGGGGUAAAGGCUCACCAAGCCAACGAUCUGUAGCUGGUCUGAGAGGACGACCAGCCACACUGGGACUGAGACACGGCCCAGACUCCUACGGGAGGCAGCAGUGGGGAAUUUUGGACAAUGGGCGCAAGCCUGAUCCAGCAAUACCGCGUGCAGGAAGAAGGCCUUCGGGUUGUAAACUGCUUUUGUACGGAACGAAACGGCUCUGGUUAAUACCCGGGGCUAAUGACGGUACCGUAAGAAUAAGCACCGGCUAACUACGUG
rnacentral:rRNA from 1 species